rnacentral:lncRNA from 1 species
UUUGUGCCACUAAAUGUAAUUUUAUUUGUAGUGAUCUUGGCCAGCUUCUCUGCAGAAAUACUCUCCAGAAUCAUGAUGAAAUGCGUACUCUUGAUCAAACGAUCCACGAUGCCUAAAUCGAAUCCACUCUACGUGCAAUCCUGGGUAGCUUCGUGAUAAAAUCCCUGGUAAUAUUUUCACAUUUUCAAACGGGAAUCUCUAACGGUUGCAUCUUGCCGUGAGGUCGUUGGUGCUCGGCCUUGACUUUCCUUCAAGUCAAACACCGCUCCACAUAGCAAUACAAAUCCCGCUUCAUACAGGACUACUAAAAAUGAAGUAAAAAAAAUGAAGUAAGGUUGGUAAUGAAACACUAUAUAUCCAUUUUUACUUCAUUUAUAAGGAAAAAAAUAAAGAUAAAUUGGAGAUGAUCUUAGUGUGUUGGAUAACUUUAGAUUUCAAAUAUAGAUACAACAACCAGUUAAAAAACAAAAUUUCAUAUGUUUAGUUGGAAAGCAAUCAUCAUUUUAAUGUUAAAAAUGCACGAUUUAUAAUUUUAUGUUCGAUAGUUAAUACCGGUCUAAGCCUUUAGUGUUUGAUGGUUGGAGUUGGUCGAAGACCACAUACCUCGUCCCGAUUUGGCAAAUCCUAAGUGAAGUAGCCAACGUGUUUCGUCUUACGAUUUGAUAACCCAUGUAUGGCGCGAGUUUUUGACCAAAAUGGUGUAUCCUAUAAAAAUAUUUAUAAAAAUAUAUAUUUUUAAGCAUAUUUACCAAAUUAUGGUUAAAUAAAAAAGAAAUCAAUGUCGACGCCCUAACUCCUCAGCACCAACAUCGCGAUUACUCCAGUCGGCUCCAUCUCCGGCUAGAUGCCGGACUCUCCGGCCACACCAGUGCGCCUACAUCACAAUUCCUUCGCAACUCUCACAUUCAGCCGCACCGGAAGACUCUCCAUCGACCGCUCAUUUCCGGCGCUUCCUCCAUGCCGUCGACCGCUAACCUCCAGCGAUCCCGCUGGUCUCCACCGGUCUACCUUCGAUGUUCCAUCA